CACAAAAAACAGUGAUAACAUUUGGGAACUAGCUCAUGGUUCAGGAUAUAACAUAGCUUAUGUUGUUAUCGGCUCCCCGACUAGUGUUUCGUGUUACAAUGUCUCAUCUAUUUUGGUCUAAGCUUUCGCUGCCUGACAUUGCUGACUCACUUGCUCUCUGCCUCCUAGGUUUGCUUUAUUCAUGGAUUCUUCUUACUGCUUCUUUUCACACUCUGAAUGCUAUAAUGCACAGCCAGGAGGUUUGGCAUCUGCACAACUAGGAGAAUAUAAAAGAUGCCCAAGCUCUGCCUUCUCCUUCACGGUGAUUUCUCCAACCCCUCCACUUUCUAUUAAGACCAUCCUUUGUUCUCUGUCUGAGUUGGAAAUAUUAUUGUUUUGUUUUGGGCAAAUGACUCCAAAAUCUCCGCUGUGGAUGGAAAGUUUUGUGACUAGAGCAGAAGGCAUGGCUCCUGCUCAUCUUGGGCAGUCUUCACAGCUGGUUUGUGAUGAUGCUCCUCAGAUGUCUUUCCCCUGGACACUCUUGCUGGGCAUCCUUAAAGAGAUAGAAAGUGUGGCCUGUACCUGGCAAGGUGCACAUGCAGUCCCCUGGUAAUGAAUGUUUUUAUAUUGUGAGCACUUCGUUGCCUGCAUUUCAGGGUGGGUGAAAUGAAAUAUACGAGGAGUUGAUGAAGCCUCUAGUGAGCAAGUUUCCAUGGCAGCCCUCAGAGGGUCAAGUUCUUCUCCAAAAGAGAGUAGUUUAUUUUCAAUUAACAAAGUACAAAGAGGUCCUUUUUGCACAUUUGCUUAUGGAAACUUCAGAUAAAUUUCCCCAGCCCUCCAGGUGCCACAUCCAGCGUGGAGGAAGGUCAUUGACUUCUGUAACAAUACAACAUCCGAGACAUGGGAUGUUGGUGAUAUGGAGCACAAAAGAAUGUUGGUUCUUAAUCAAAAUGGAAACAUUAUCAAAUUGACCUACUAGCCGUUCAUCAAGCACCUACUUAUAAUUCCACCUGCCAGAGAUGGCAAAUUUCCACUCUUUCAGAGUUCUGGGUUGAGUGUCAAGACUGGAUGUCUACUUAAUAGGAGAAUGAAUUGCAGCAUUCUUUGAGCUGCUGACCAAAGAUAGAGGUGUAAUCAACGAUCACAUUAAAUAUUCUAAGAAUCACAGCUUCUAUGAGGAAGCAGAGGUAAUAAUUAUCCACAUAUGCUCUAUAAAAGAGCAGUCCAACAUAUGGAAAUUUACCAUAAUGCAUUGGAAAGAAUAGGGAGAAAUUUUGCCCUAAAAUCCUGCAAAGUGAGAUUCUAUUUGACCCAGAACAAAGACUAGAAUUUCUCCAGGUCACUAAUUUUCUCUUCUGAUGUAUCCAAUCUGCAGCCAAAUACAACCAUUGAGAUACUAUAUCUUUUGGUUUCUGUAUUUUUCCAUUUUGGAAGUUCAUUUCUUUCUCAAAUAUGCUGUAUCAUUUUAUAUAGUUUUGUAUUCCAUGCAUAUAUUAUCAUGUUUGUCAUUUCUUUUA
rnacentral:lncRNA from 1 species